rnacentral:rRNA from 1 species
AUUGAACGCUGGCGGCAGGCCUAACACAUGCAAGUCGAACGGUAGCACAGGAGAGCUUGCUCUCCGGGUGACGAGUGGCGGACGGGUGAGUAAUGCAUGGGGAGCUGCCCAAUCGAGGGGGAUACCAGCUGGAAACGGCUGCUAAUACCGCAUACGCCCUGAGGGGGAAAGGUGGGGACCUUCGGGCCUACCGCGAUUGGAUGCACCCAUGUGGGAUUAGCUAGUUGGUGAGGUAACGGCUCACCAAGGCGACGAUCUCUAGCUGGUCUGAGAGGAUGACCAGCCACACUGGAACUGAGACACGGUCCAGACUCCUACGGGAGGCAGCAGUGGGGAAUAUUGCACAAUGGGGGGAACCCUGAUGCAGCCAUGCCGCGUGUGUGAAGAAGGCCUUCGGGUUGUAAAGCACUUUCAGUGGGGAGGAAGGGUUGAUGUCUAAUACGCAUCAGCAUUGACGUUACCCACAGAAGAAGCACCGGCUAACUCCGUGCCAGCAGCCGCCGUAAUAC